rnacentral:rRNA from 1 species
UACGUAGGGUGCGAGCGUUAAUCGGAAUUACUGGGCGUAAAGCGUGCGCAGGCGGUUGUGCAAGACAGAUGUGAAAUCCCUGGGCUUAACCUAGGAAUUGCAUUUGUGACUGCACGGCUAGAGUGUGUCAGAGGGGGGUAGAAUUCCAUGUGUAGCAGUGAAAUGCGUAGAUAUGCGGAGGAAUACCGAUGGCGAAGGCAGCCCCCUGGGAUAACACUGACGCUCAUGCACGAAAGCGUGGGGAGCAAACAGG